GAUGAACGCUAGCUACAGGCUUAACACAUGCAAGUCGAGGGACCGGCGCACGGGUGAGUAACACGUAUCCAACCUGCCCUUUACUCGGGGAUAGCCUUUCGAAAGAAAGAUUAAUACCCGAUAUAAUGGAUGGGGAUGCGUUGCAUUAGGUUGUUGGUGAGGUAACGGCCCACCAAGCCUUCGAUGGCUAGGGGUUCUGAGAGGAAGGUCCCCCACAGUGGAACUGAGACCCGGUCCAAACUCCUACGGGAGGCAGCAGUGAGGAAGAUUGGUCAAUGGGCGUUAGCCUGACACAGCCAAGUAGCGUGAAGGAUGAAGGCUUAUGGGUCGUAAACUUCUUUUAUAUAAGAAGAUGUAUUAUAUGAAUAAGGAUCGGCUAACUCCGUGCCAGCAGCCGCGGUAAUUC
rnacentral:rRNA from 1 species